rfam:Wallemia ichthyophaga EXF-994 unplaced genomic scaffold scaffold6, whole genome shotgun sequence.
GGGGGUAUAGUUCAGUGGCUAGAACGCGGUCUUCGCAAGACCGAGGCCGGGGUUCGAUUCCCCGUACCUCCA